UACGUAGGGUGCAAGCGUUGUCCGGAAUUAUUGGGCGUAAAGCGCUCGUAGGCGGUUUGUCGAGUCGGAUGUGAAAACCCGGAGCUCAACCCCGGGCCUGCAGUCGAUACGGGCGGACUUGAGUGUUGCAGGGGAGACUGGAAUUCCCGGUGUAGUGGUGAAAUGCGUAGAUAUCGGGAGGAACACCAGUGGCGAAGGCGACUACCUGGCCUGUUCUUGACGCUGAGGCGCGAAAGCUAGGGGAGCAAACGGG
rnacentral:rRNA from 1 species